AACGAACGCUGGCGGCAGGCCUAACACAUGCAAGUCGAACGCCGUAGCAAUACGGAGUGGCAGACGGGUGAGUAACGCGUGGGAACAUGCCCUUCGGUUCGGAAUAACUCAGGGAAACUUGAGCUAAUACCGGAUACGUCCAAGGCUUGCCUUGGAGAAAGAUUUAUCGCCGGAGGAUUGGCCCGCGUCUGAUUAGCUAGUUGGUGGGGUAAUGGCUCACCAAGGCGACGAUCAGUAGCUGGUCUGAGAGGAUGAUCAGCCACAUUGGGACUGAGACACGGCCCAAACUCCUACGGGAGGCAGCAGUGGGGAAUAUUGGACAAUGGGCGCAAGCCUGCUCCAGCCAUGCCGCGUGAGUGAUGAAGGCCCUAGGGUUGUAAAGCUCUUUUGCCCGGGAAGAUAAUGACGGUACCGGGAGAAUAAGCCCCGGCUAACUUCGUGCCAGCAGCCGCUGUAACAC
rnacentral:rRNA from 1 species